rnacentral:rRNA from 1 species
AUACGUAGGUGGCGAGCGUUGUCCGGAAUUACUGGGCGUAAAGGGCGCGUAGGCGGGAAUUUAAGUUAGAUGUGAAAACUCUGAGCUCAACUUGGAGACUGCAUUUAAAACUGGAUUUCUUGAGGGCAGGAGAGGAAAGUGGAAUUCCUAGUGUAGCGGUGAAAUGCGUAGAUAUUAGGAGGAACACCAGUGGCGAAGGCGACUUUCUGGACUGUACCUGACGCUGAGGCGCGAAAGCGUGGGGAGC